UAGGUAAGUCCACUAAUUAACAAACUAGGCAACAUGGGUAUAUUUCUGAAAGUGAAAGAUAUCUAAAGAAAAAAUCUUCUUGUAGCAUCAGAUCUUUCUCUUAAUAGCUUAUUGAAUUCCGUAGGUUAGACAGUAAGCUAGGAUGCUCUUCACUUGAAAUCACAGUACAGUAAGCAGCUAAGAUAAUGCAUACAUUUUCUUAAAUGUACAACAAAAUUAGGAAACCCCCAACACAAAAUUCCAUAGUUCACAGUAAUAUAUAUAUAUAUAUAUAUAUAUAUAUAUAGAUCAGUU
rnacentral:lncRNA from 1 species